rnacentral:tRNA from 1 species
GGAGAGGUGCUAGAGUGGCCGAAUAGGCGCGACUGGAAAUCGCGUGUCGUCUGAAGAAGGCGACCGUGGGUUCGAAUCCCACCCUCUCCGCCA